rnacentral:tRNA from 1 species
CGGGCUGUAGUAUAACGGUUAUUAUGCUGGGCUGGGGGUCCAGUGACCCGGGUUCGAUUCCCGGCAGCCCGACCA